AUACGGAGGGUGCAAGCGUUACUCGGAAUCACUGGGCGUAAAGGACGCGUAGGCGGGUUGGAAAGUCUGAUGUGAAAUCCUACAGCUUAACUGUAGAACUGCAUUGGAAACUUCCAACCUAGAGUAUGGGAGGGGGAGAUGGAAUUAGUGGUGUAGGGGUCAAAUCCGUAGAUAUCACUAGGAAUACCCAAAGCGAAGGCGAUCACCUGGAACAUUACUGACGCUAAGGCGUGAAAGCGUGGGGAGCAAACGGGAUUAGAAACCCCAGUAGUCC
rnacentral:rRNA from 1 species